rnacentral:rRNA from 1 species
UACAGAGGGUGCGAGCGUUGUUCGGAAUUACUGGGCGUAAAGCGCGCGCAGGCGGCCCUUUAAGUCUGCCGGUCAAAUGCCGGGGCUCAACCCCGAGCUCGCCGGAGAUACGUGGGGGCUGGAGACAGGUAGAGGCGAGUGGAAUUCCGGGUGUAGCGGUGGAAUGCGUAGAGAUCCGGAAGAACACCGGAGGCGAAGGCGGCUCGCUGGGCCUGGUCUGACGCUGAGGCGCGAAAGCGUGGGGAGCGAACAGG